AAAUUAAUUCAUCAAUAUACUCACUGGUAUUCUGCUUUACUUCGUACGAAAGGUUAAAAUGUGUUUUACAGACAUUGCUUUACAUGACUGUACAACAGCUAUUCUAUCUAUGAACAGUUGUAGCAAUAACUGAAGCUGUAUGACUGCAACAACCGUGGUAUGACUGAAACAACAGCUUUAUGAAUUAACAACUUAAGCAUAACUGAAAUAGCAGCUGCAUGACUGUAACAGCUGUGUGACUGUAACAGCUGCAUCACUGUAACAGCUGCUUGACUAACAGCUGCAUGACUUUAACAGCUGUAUGAUUGUAACAGUUGUAUGACUGUAACAGCUGCAUGACUUUAACAGCUGCUUGACUAACAGCUUCAUGACUGUAACAGCUGUAUGACUGUAACAGAUGCAUGACUUUAACAGAUGCAUGAGUAACAGCUGCAUGACUGUAACAGCUGCGUGACUGUCACAGCUGUAUGACUGUCACAGCUACAUGACUGUAACAUCUGUGAAACUGUAACACCUGUGUGACUGUAACAUCUGCAUGUCUGUAACAGCUGUGUGACUGUAACAGAUUCAUGGCUGUAACAGCUGUGUGACUGUAACAGAUGCAUGACUGUAACAGCUGUUUGACUGUAACAGCUCUAUGACUGUAACAGCUGCAUUACUGUAACAGCUGUGUGACUGUAACAGCUGUAUGACUGUCACAGCUACAUGACUGUAACAUCUGUGAAACUGUAACAUCUGUGUGACUGUAACAUCUGCAUGUCUGUAACAGCUGUGUGACUGUAACAGAUUCAUGGCUGUAACAGCUGUGUGACUGUAACAGAUGCAUGACUGUAACAGCUGUUUGACUGUAACAGCUCUAUGACUGUAACAGCUGCAUUACUGUAACAGCUGUGUGACUGUAACAGCAGUAUGGUUGUAACAACUGCAUGACUUUAACAGCUGCAUUUCUGUAACAGUUGUAUGACUGUAACAACCGUUGCAGCAGUAUGAUUUAUGAGGGAUUUAAACAAGUGUUGAAGCUUUUUGAAGGUGUUUAACAUUAGUUGAAGCUUUAUGAAUCAAGGGAACUGCAGUUAAAGCUUAAUGAAGGAUUGUAACAACAGUUGAAGCUUUUUGAAGGAUUGUAACAACAGUUGAAGCUUUUUUGAAGGUUUCUAGCAACAUAUAAAGUUUUAUGAAGGAUUGUAACAACAGUUGAAGCUUUUUGAAGGAUUGUAACAACAGUUGAAGCUUUUUUGAAGGUUUCUAGCAACAUAUAAAGUUUUAUGAAGGAUUGUAACAACAGUUGAAAGUUUUUUGAAGGUUUCUAGCAACAUAUAAAGUUUUAUGAAGGAUUGUAACAACAGUUGAAGCUUUUUGAAGGAUUGUAACAACAUUUGAAGCUUUUUGAAGGAUUGUAACAACAGUUGAAGCUUUUUGAAGGAUUGUAACAACAGUUGAAGCUUUUUGAAGGAUUGUAACAACAGUUGAAGCUUUUUGAAGGAUUGUAACAACAGUUGAAGCUUUUUGAAGGAUUGUAAAAACAGUUGAAGCUUUUUGAAGGAUUGUAACAACAGUUGAAGCUUUUUAAGGAUUGUAACAACAGUUGAAGCUUUUUGAAGGUUCAAACCACAGAUGAAGCUGUACAAAUGAAAACUUGAUACAGUAGUAGCUCCAGAACAGAUUGUAAUACCAUUUGGCAAAUUAUGAAGGAUUGUAACAACAGUUUUAGCUCAGACAUGGACAGUGUUAAAAACUCUAGAAAAUAUCAGUAAGCAAAACAAACAUCUUUGUUAGCCAAGAAGAUA
rnacentral:lncRNA from 1 species